ensembl:lncRNA
CUGGGUGUUGAAGAAAAUAUAAUUUGAUCAAACAUUAUUCAGCUUUAAAUAUUGUUCAGCUUUAAAGUUACUGUGCAACUGUGUAAUAAAAAUAUGCGCUCACGACUUUGGCCUUGAGAGCGAUAAGAAGCGAUCGCCUCAUUCUGCAGGUGCAAGAUAUCUGCAAGCGAAGAGACUAGAACACCCAAGGCCGCUUUCCUUUUAUGGAGUUGUUUUUCUGCUAAUGCAGCACUGUCCUCACAACCCCCUCCUGUAAGUUUUAGAGAAUAUAUACCCAUCCUCACAGCAAAUAUUAGGAAUCUCCUGAUGUGAGCUGUUUGAGAGGUUGUCUCUGUCUCAAUAAAAGUUCACUGAUUCCCCCAUCUGCUGCAGGUGUCCGGUUGUCUUCAUUCUCCGCCAGCCUGGAUCCGCUCCAGGCCAAACUGGAACGGGUGGGAGGACAUCGGCCGUGGUCUGAGUGAACGGAGUUUGGACAAAAGCUGUGUGCACACAAAAACAAGGACAGCUGUUACUGCUUUCAUCGGGAACCGAGACUGCUUGCAGCCGACCCCUGGGCAGGGUGGUGCCUGGACUCUUUUCUCCUCAUCUGCAAUGACAGAUAAAGACAAAUGAUAAGACCCGAGGAGUUUUUCGAGCCAGGCUUCGACACGUCUCUGUGUUCCUUUGAAUGUUACUUAUUUUUGUGUGUUGACCCAUUUAAGAUGGGUCAAAAGGGGGAUUUGAAGAAAAUAUAAUUUGAUCAAACAUUAUUCAGCUUUAAAUAUUGUUCAGCUUUAAAGUUACUGUGCAACUGUGUAAUAAAAAUAUGCGCUCACGACUUUGGCCUUGAGAGCGAUAAGAAGCGAUCGCCUCAUUCUGCAGGUGCAAGAUAUCUGCAAGCGAAGAGACUAGAACACCCAAGGCCGCUUUCCUUUUAUGGAGUUGUUUUUCUGCUAAUGCAGCACUGUCCUCACAACCCCCUCCUGUAAGUUUUAGAGAAUAUAUACCCAUCCUCACAGCAAAUAUUAGGAAUCUCCUGAUGUGAGCUGUUUGAGAGGUUGUCUCUGUCUCAAUAAAAGUUCACUGAUUCCCCC